UAGGGAAUCUUCCGCAAUGGACGCAAGACUGACGGAGCAACGCCGCGUGAGUGAAGAAGGAUUUCGGUUCGUAAAACUCUGUUGUUAGAGAAGAACAGCGCAUAGAGUAACUGUUAUGCGUGUGACGGUAUCUAACCAGAAAGCCACGGCUAACUACGUGCCAGCAGCCGCGGGAAUACGUAGGUGGCAAGCGUUGUCCGGAUUUAUUGGGCGUAACGCGAGCGCAGGCGGUCAAUUAAGUCUGAUGUGAAAGCCCCCGGCUCAACCGGGGAGGGUCAUUGGAAACUGGUUGACUUGAGUGCAGAAGAGGAGAGUGGACUUCCAUGAGUAGCGGUAAAAUGCGUCGAUAUAUGGAGGAACACCAGUGGCGAAGGCGACUCUCUGGUCUGUAACUGACGCUGAGGCUCGAAAGCGUGGGUAGCAAACAGG
rnacentral:rRNA from 1 species